rnacentral:rRNA from 1 species
GGUUAAGCGACUAAGCGUACACGGUGGAUGCCCUGGCAGUCAGAGGCGAUGAAGGACGUGCUAAUCUGCGAUAAGCGUCGGUAAGGUGAUAUGAACCGUUAUAACCGGCGAUGUCCGAAUGGGGAAACCCAGUGUGUUCCGACACACUAUCAUUAACUGAAUCCAUAGGUUAAUGAGGCGAACCGGGGGAACUGAAACAUCUAAGUACCCCGAGGAAAAGAAAUCAACCGAGAUUCCCCCAGUAGCGGCGAGCGAACGGGGAGGAGCCCAGAGCCUGAAUCAGUGUGUGUGUUAGUGGAAGCGUCUGGAAAGGCGCGCGAUACAGGGUGACAGCCCCGUACACAAAAAUGCACAUGCUGUGAGCUCGAUGAGUAGGGCGGGACACGUGGUAUCCUGUCUGAAUAUGGGGGGACCAUCCUCCAAGGCUAAAUACUCCUGACUGACCGAUAGUGAACCAGUACCGUGAGGGAAAGGCGAAAAGAACCCCGGCGAGGGGAGUGAAAAAGAACCUGAAACCGUGUACGUACAAGCAGUGGGAGCCCUGAUUUAUCAGGGUGACUGCGUACCUUUUGUAUAAUGGGUCAGCGACUUAUAUUCUGUAGCAAGGUUAACCGAAUAGGGGAGCCGGAGGGAAACCGAGUCUUAACUGGGCGUUAAGUUGCAGGGUAUAGACCCGAAACCCGGUGAUCUAGCCAUGGGCAGGUUGAAGGUUGGGUAACACUAACUGGAGGACCGAACCGACUAAUGUUGAAAAAUUAGCGGAUGACUUGUGGCUGGGGGUGAAAGGCCAAUCAAACCGGGAGAUAGCUGGUUCUCCCCGAAAGCUAUUUAGGUAGCGCCUCGUGAAUUCAUCUCCGGGGGUAGAGCACUGUUUCGGCAAGGGGGUCAUCCCGACUUACCAACCCGAUGCAAACUGCGAAUACCGGAGAAUGUUAUCACGGGAGACACACGGCGGGUGCUAACGUCCGUCGUGAAGAGGGAAACAACCCAGACCGCCAGCUAAGGUCCCAAAGUCAUGGUUAAGUGGGAAACGAUGUGGGAAGGCCCAGACAGCCAGGAUGUUGGCUUAGAAGCAGCCAUCAUUUAAAGAAAGCGUAAUAGCUCACUGGUCGAGUCGGCCUGCGCGGAAGAUGUAACGGGGCUAAACCAUGCACCGAAGCUGCGGCAGCGACACUGUGUGUUGUUGGGUAGGGGAGCGUUCUGUAAGCCUGCGAAGGUGUGCUGUGAGGUAUGCUGGAGGUAUCAGAAGUGCGAAUGCUGACAUAAGUAACGAUAAAGCGGGUGAAAAGCCCGCUCGCCGGAAGACCAAGGGUUCCUGUCCAACGUUAAUCGGGGCAGGGUGAGUCGACCCCUAAGGCGAGGCCGAAAGGCGUAGUCGAUGGGAAACAGGUUAAUAUUCCUGUACUUGGUGUUACUGCGAAGGGGGGACGGAGAAGGCUAUGUUGGCCGGGCGACGGUUGUCCCGGUUUAAGCGUGUAGGCUGGUUUUCCAGGCAAAUCCGGAAAAUCAAGGCUGAGGCGUGAUGACGAGGCACUACGGUGCUGAAGCGACAAAUGCCCUGCUUCCAGGAAAAGCCUCUAAGCAUCAGGUAACAUCAAAUCGUACCCCAAACCGACACAGGUGGUCAGGUAGAGAAUACCAAGGCGCUUGAGAGAACUCGGGUGAAGGAACUAGGCAAAAUGGUGCCGUAACUUCGGGAGAAGGCACGCUGAUAUGUAGGUGAAGCGACUUGCUCGUGGAGCUGAAAUCAGUCGAAGAUACCAGCUGGCUGCAACUGUUUAUUAAAAACACAGCACUGUGCAAACACGAAAGUGGACGUAUACGGUGUGACGCCUGCCCGGUGCCGGAAGGUUAAUUGAUGGGGUCAGCGCAAGCGAAGCUCUUGAUCGAAGCCCCGGUAAACGGCGGCCGUAACUAUAACGGUCCUAAGGUAGCGAAAUUCCUUGUCGGGUAAGUUCCGACCUGCACGAAUGGCGUAAUGAUGGCCAGGCUGUCUCCACCCGAGACUCAGUGAAAUUGAACUCGCUGUGAAGAUGCAGUGUACCCGCGGCAAGACGGAAAGACCCCGUGAACCUUUACUAUAGCUUGACACUGAACACUGGUCCUUGAUGUGUAGGAUAGGUGGGAGGCUUUGAAGUGUGGACGCCAGUCUGCAUGGAGCCGUCCUUGAAAUACCACCCUUUAAUGGCUGGUGUUCUAACGUGGGCCCGUAAUCCGGGUUGCGGACAGUGUCUGGUGGGUAGUUUGACUGGGGCGGUCUCCUCCUAAAGAGUAACGGAGGAGCACGAAGGUUGGCUAAUCCUGGUCGGACAUCAGGAGGUUAGUGCAAUGGCAUAAGCCAGCUUGACUGCGAGCGUGACGGCGCGAGCAGGUGCGAAAGCAGGUCAUAGUGAUCCGGUGGUUCUGAAUGGAAGGGCCAUCGCUCAACGGAUAAAAGGUACUCCGGGGAUAACAGGCUGAUACCGCCCAAGAGUUCAUAUCGACGGCGGUGUUUGGCACCUCGAUGUCGGCUCAUCACAUCCUGGGGCUGAAGUAGGUCCCAAGGGUAUGGCUGUUCGCCAUUUAAAGUGGUACGCGAGCUGGGUUUAGAACGUCGUGAGACAGUUCGGUCCCUAUCUGCCGUGGGCGCUGGAGAACUGAGGGGGGCUGCUCCUAGUACGAGAGGACCGGAGUGGACGCAUCACUGGUGUUCGGGUUGUCAUGCCAAUGGCACUGCCCGGUAGCUAAAUGCGGAAGAGAUAAGUGCUGAAAGCAUCUAAGCACGAAACUUGCCCCGA